rnacentral:rRNA from 1 species
GAUCCUGGCUCAGGAUGAACGCUGGCGGCGUGCCUAAUACAUGCAAGUCGAACGCUUUGUAAAGGAGCUUGCUUCUUUACGAGGAGUGGCGAACGGGUGAGUAAUACAUAAGCAAUCUGCCCAUCGGCCUGGGAUAACAGUUGGAAACGACUGCUAAUACCGGAUAGGUUAGUUUCUGGCAUCAGGGACUAAUUAAAGUUGGGAUACAACACGGAUGGAUGAGCUUAUGGCGUAUUAGCUAG